rnacentral:rRNA from 1 species
UUCCUACGGGACGCCGCCGUGCGGCCUCUUGGUCCCUUUUCUUGCGCCUGCACCCGCCAAGUCGCGUGAGGGAAGACGGUCCUAUGGAUUGUAAACCUCUUUUGUCGGGGAGCAAAGAGGCCACGUGUGGUCAAAAGCGAGAGUACCCGAAGAAAAAGCAUCGGCUAACUCCGUGCCAGCAGCCGCGGUAAUACGGAGGAUGCGAGCGUUAUCCGGAUUUAUUGGGUUUAAAGGGUGCGUAGGCGGGACGGUAAGUCAGCGGUAAAAAUGCGGAGCUCAACUCCGUCGAGCCGUUGAAACUGCCG